rnacentral:misc_RNA from 1 species
AAGUCGUAACAAGGUUUCCGUAGGUGAACCUGCGGAAGGAUCAUUAUUGAACAAAUAUAAUUUGGGAGGUUGUAGCUGGCUCUCUGAGUAAUGUGCACGCCCUUCAAACUAUUUAUCCUCCAACCCACCUGUGCACUCCUUGUAGAUGCUGGAUAAAACAACAACUUUCUUUUGGAUUGUUGUGCUCUUUUGAGGGUUUGCUGUCAAGGCUGCCUUUGCUGGUCUAGCAUCUAUGUAUUUUACAAUGCACCCCCAUUUUUAUAGUCUUUGGAAUGUAUUAUCAAAGGGGCAGCAAUGCCUUUUGUUUAUAAAUAUUAAUACAA